rnacentral:rRNA from 1 species
CCUACGGGAGGCAACAGUGGGGAAUAUUGCACAAUGGGGGAAACCCUGAUGCAGCGACGCCGCGUGAGUGAGGAAGUAUUUCGGUAUGUAAAGCUCUAUCAGCAGGGAAGAAAAUGACGGUACCUGACUAGGCAGCCACGGCUAACUCCGUGCCAGCAGCCGCGGUCAUACGUAGGGGGCAAGCGUUAUCCGGAUUUACUGGGGGUAAAGGGAGCGUAGACGGCUAAUCAAGUCAGAAGUGAAAGCCCAGGGCUCAACCUUGGGACUGCUUUUGAAACUGAGUCGCUAGAGUGCAGGAGAGGUAAGCGGAAUUCCUAGUGUAGCGGUGAAAUGCGUAGAUAUUAGGAGGAACACCAGUGGCGAAGGCGGCUUACUGGACUGUAACUGACGUUGAGGCGCGAAAGCGUGGGGAGCAAACAGGAUUAGAUACCCCAGUAGUC